rnacentral:rRNA from 1 species
UGGUAGUNCACGCCGUAAACGAUGAGUGCUAGGUGUUGGGUCCUUUCCGGGACUCAGUGCCGCAGCUAACGCAUUAAGCACUCCGCCUGGGGAGUACGACCGCAAGGUUGAAACUCAAAGGAAUUGACGGGGGCCCGCACAAGCGGUGGAGCAUGUGGUUUAAUUCGAAGCAACGCGAAGAACCUUACCAGGUCUUGACAUCCCUCUGACCGCUCUAGAGAUAGAGUUUUCCUUCGGGACAGAGGUGACAGGUGGUGCAUGGUUGUCGUCAGCUCGUGUCGUGAGAUGUUGGGUUAANNNNNGCAACGAGCGCAACCCCUAUUGUUAGUUGCCAUCAUUCAGUUGGGCACUAUAGCGAGACUGCCGGUAAUAAACCGGAGGAAGGUGGGGAUGACGUCAAAUCAUCAUGCCCCUUAUGACCUGGGCUACACACGUGCUACAAUGGCUGGUACAACGAGUCGCGAGUCGGUGACGGCAAGCUAAUCUCUUAAAGCCAGUCUCAGUUCGGAUUGUAGGCUGCAACUCGCCUACAUGAAGUCGGAAUCGCUAGUAAUCGCGGAUCAGCACGCCGCGGUGAAUACGUUCCCGGGCCU